UGGUGGCUUUUCACAAGAUGUGAAUGCUUCUUUGAUGUUACAGUAACAUAAGUCCAGAAUUCUGUUCUCUCUUGUUGGGCAUGAGAUGUGUUGAUCCAUUCUAAUCUAUACAACUACGCUUAAUAUAACCUUUUUUUUUAAAUGUAUUUUUCUGUAUUUUGUUGUUUUUGAUAUGAUAACACAACUCCUUUGCCUCUCGUGGUUUUUCUCCAGAGAUCUACAUUCAUCAAAGUAUUAACAAAAUUUGCUGAAGGUCCGUACAUCUCCAGUCUUGUUUUGUUUGAAAGAGAAGAGAUGGAUUUCGUUUACGUCAAUGAUAGGUCUCACUUACAAGGGGAAACAAUACAUAUAAAACUGAGUGAGGAAGA
rnacentral:sRNA from 1 species